rnacentral:rRNA from 1 species
AUUGAACGCUGGCGGCAGGCCUAACACAUGCAAGUCGAGCGGUAGCACAGAGAGCUUGCUCUCGGGUGAUGAGCGGCGGACGGGUGAGUAAUGUCUGGGAAACUGCCUGAUGGAGGGGGAUAACUACUGGAAACGGUAGCUAAUACCGCAUAACGUCGCAAGACCAAAGAGGGGGACCUUCGGGCCUCUUGCCAUCAGAUGUGCCCAGAUGGGAUUAGCUAGUAGGUGGGGUAACGGCUCACCUAGGCGACGAUCCCUAGCUGGUCUGAGAGGAUGACCAGCCACACUGGAACUGAGACACGGGCCAGACUCCUACGGGAGGCAGCAGUGGGGAAUAUUGCACAAUGGGCGCAAGCCUGAUGCAGCCAUGCCGCGUGUAUGAAGAAGGCCUUCUGGUUGUAAAGUACUUUCAGCGGGGAGGAAGGCGAUAAGGUUAAUAACCUUGUCGAUUGACGUUACCCGCAGAAGAAGCACCGGCUAACUCCGUGCCAGCCGCCGCAGUAACAC